UGCCGAGUGGACGAAAGGCAAGUCGCAUGGCCCUGAACCAUGAAGUUGCAGGUUCAAAUCCUGCCUCGGCAU
rnacentral:tRNA from 6 species